UACGGGGGGGGCAAGCGUUGUUCGGAAUUACUGGGCGUAAAGCGUGCGCAGGCGGCUAUGCAAGACAGAUGUGAAAUCCCCGGGCUCAACCUGGGAACUGCAUUUGUGACUGCAUGGCUAGAGUACGGCAGAGGGGGAUGGAAUUCCGCGUGUAGCAGUGAAAUGCGUAGAUAUGCGGAGGAACACCGAUGGCGAAGGCAAUCCCCUGGGCCUGUACUGACGCUCAUGCACGAAAGCGUGGGGAGCAAACAGG
rnacentral:rRNA from 1 species